rnacentral:rRNA from 1 species
UACGUAGGGUGCCAGCGUUGCUCGGAAUCACUGGGCGUAAAGCGCACGUAGGCGGCUUUCUAAGUCAGGGGUGAAAUCCUGGAGCUCAACUCCAGAACUGCCUUUGAUACUGGAGAGCUUGAGUCCGGGAGAGGUGAGUGGAACUCCGAGUGUAGAGGUGAAAUUCGUAGAUAUUCGGAAGAACACCAGUGGCGAAGGCGGCUCACUGGCCCGGUACUGACGCUGAUGUGCGAAAGCGUGGGGAGCAAACAGG